AUUGAACGCUGGCGGCAUGCCUUACACAUGCAAGUCGAACGGCAGCGCGGGGCAACCUGGCGGCGAGUGGCGAACGGGUGAGUAACAUAUCGGAACAUACCCUAGAGUGGGGGAUAACGUAGCGAAAGUUACGCUAAUACCGCAUACGCACUAAGGUGGAAAAGUGGGGGGAUCUUCGGACCUCAUGCUCAUGGAGUGGCCGAUAUCUGAUUAGCUAGUUGGUGAGGUAAAGGCUCACCAAGGCGACGAUCAGUAGCUGGUUUUGAGAGAACGACCAGCCACACUGGAACUGAGACACGGUCCAGACUCCUACGGGAGGCAGCAGUGGGGGAAUUUUUGGACAAUGGGGGCAACCCUGAUCCAGCAAAUGCCGCGUGAGUGAAGAAGGCCU
rnacentral:rRNA from 1 species